GACGAACGCUGGCGGCGUGCUUAAUACAUGCAAGUCAACUGAACUUAAGAUAGCAAUAUUUUAAGGGAGGUGGCGCACGGGUGAGUAACACGUAGGUAAUCUGCCUUUAGGACUGACAUAACCCAGAGAAAUCUGGGCUAAUAUCAGAUGAUGCAGCGGCUCGACAUCGAGACAGUUGUUAAACCUUCGGGGCCUAAAGAUGAGCCUGCGUCUGAUUAGGUAGUUGGCGGGGUAACGGCCCACCAAGCCAUCGAUCAGUAGCUGAUCUGAGAGGAUGAUCAGCCACACUGGGACUGAGACACGGCCCAGACUCCUACGGGAGGCAGCAGUGGGGAAUCUUGGACAAUGGGCGCAAACCUGAUCCAGCCAUGCCGCGUGAGUGAAGAAGGCCUUAGGGUUGUAAAGCUCUUUUACCAGGGACGAUAAUGACGGUACCUGGAGAAUAAGCCCCGGCAAACUUCGUGCCAGCAGCCGCGGUAAUUG
rnacentral:rRNA from 1 species